rnacentral:rRNA from 1 species
GAGUUUGAACCUGGCUCAGGAUGAACGCUGGCGGCGUGCCUAAUACAUGCAAGUCGAGCGAACCACUUCGGUGGUGAGCGGCGAACGGGUGAGUAACACGUAGGUGAUCUGCCCAUCAGACGGGGACAACGAUUGGAAACGAUCGCUAAUACCGGAUAGGACGAAAGUUUAAAGGUGCUUCUGGCACCGCUGAUGGAUGAGCCUGCGGCGCAUUAGCUAGUUGGUAGGGUAAAGGCCUACCAAGGCGACGAUGCGUAGCCGACCUGAGAGGGUGAACGGCCACACUGGGACUGAGACACGGCCCAGACUCCUACGGGAGGCAGCAGUAGGGAAUCUUCGGCAAUGGGCGAAAGCCUGACCGAGCAACGCCGCGUGAAUGAUGAAGGCCUUCGGGUUGUAAAAUUCUGUUAUAAGGGAAGAACGACUUUAGUAGGAAAUGGCUAGAGUGUGACGGUACCUUAUGAGAAAGCCACGGCUAACUACGUGCCAGCAGCCGCGGUAAUACGUAGGUGGCGAGCGUUAUCCGGAAUUAUUGGGCGUAAAGAGCGCGCAGGUGGUUGAUUAAGUCUGAUGUGAAAGCCCACGGCUUAACCGUGGAGGGUCAUUGGAAACUGGUCGACUUGAGUGCAGA